AACUUUGUAUUGAUUAAAGAUUAGCUUAAGCUAGACCUAGCAUGGUAAUUCCAGUUAAAAAAAAUUAAUUAACAUGUAUUUUUUUAAAACCCAGCAGGAAAUAUUAAACUAUAUUAGCAAUAAUAAUUUAAUUUAGCUUAAAAAAUUGGACUAAUUAGGUGCCAGCAGUCGCGGUCAUACCUAACAAUUGAGUUAAUUUUAUUAGACAAGCUUUAAAAGGAAAAUUUUUAUAAUCAGGUGAAAUUGGUAUAAAACUAAAGUUUGCUGCCUCUAAACUCUAAGCUUAAAUUCUAAAAAUAAACUAGGAUUAGAUACCCUAUUAUAUAGAACCAAAAUUUCGUGUCUAAGCACUAAGACUUUAUAGUUAAAACUUAAACUACAUGGCGGCAGUUAAAAAUUUCAGGGGAACUUGCUAAGUAAAUGAUAACCCACAAGAAACUCUACUCUUACUCUUUAGAGUUUGUAUAUCGCCGUCUUCAGUUCUCAUUUCAGAUGAGCCCGUAACCUAAAAAUAAAAAAAGACAGGUUAUGAUGCAGCUAAUGUAAGAGUUUAGAAGUGAGUUACAAUAUAGAAUGAAUUUGGAGUUUUUUUGAAAAACAAAAACAAAAACUGGACUUGAAAGUAAAUUCUAUAAAUAUAUAUUAGUUGAAUAAAUAAAUAAAUUUAAUUGUGCACAAAUCGCCCGUCGCUUUCAUUGAAAAAUGAAAUAAGUCGUAACAUAGUAGGUGUACUGGAAAGUGUACC
rnacentral:ncRNA from 1 species